GAUGAACGCUGGCGGCGUGCCUAACACAUGCAAGUCGAGCGGAAACCAGCAAGCAGCAAUGCGCGGUGGUUUUAGCGGCGGACGGGUGAGUAACACGUGAGCAAUCUGCCUUCUGCAGGGGAAUAACAUUGUGAAAACAGUGCUAAUACCGCAUGACAUCCCUUUUGGACAUCCAGGGGGGAUCAAAGGAGCAAUCCGGCAGGAGAUGAGCUCGCGUCCGAUUAGCUAGUUGGCGGGGUAACGGCCCACCAAGGCGACGAUCGGUAGCCGAACUGAGAGGUUGGUCGGCCACAGUGGGACUGAGACACGGCCCAGACUCCUACGGGAGGCAGCAGUGGGGAAUAUUGGGCAAUGGGGGCAACCCUGACCCAGCAACGCCGCGUGAAGGACGAAGGCCUUCGGGUUGUAAACUUCUUUGAUCAGGGACGAACAAUGACGGUACCUGAAGAACAAGCCACGGCUAACUACGUGCCAGCCGCCGCCGUAAUAC
rnacentral:rRNA from 1 species